rnacentral:rRNA from 1 species
UACGUAGGCAGCGAGCGUUGUUCGGAAUUACUGGGCGUAAAGAGUGUGUAGGCGGUGCUCUAAGUCUGUCGUGAAAUCUCCCGGCUUAACUGGGAGGGUGCGGCGGAAACUGGAGUGCUAGAGGGUGGGAGAGGAAAGCGGAAUUCCUGGUGUAGCGGUGAAAUGCGUAGAUAUCUGGAGGAACACCGGUGGCGAAGGCGGCGUUCUGGACUGCAACUGACACUGAAAAACGAAAGCCAGGGGAGCAAACGGG